CCUAGAAACAACCGCCUUGGGAGGAAACGUGACACUGCCGUUCUGUGGAGGAAAUCCAGCCGCUGUGUUUUUGAGGCCGGUGAUGACAGAGUAAAGUCGGACAGAGACAAACGUGUCUUUACACAUGCAGCGCUCACAAAAGACGCAGCUGAAGUCCCGAGUGUAAUGACAGUGAGUUCUUUCAGUGUUUACAGUGAGCUUCUCUGCGUGGAACAGAUUAUGAAAAUGUUCCUGUAGAAAAAACAAUAGACUUUUUGAAGGGGAUCAAGCUGUUUCCAAAACUUAGACUCGAGGACUUCCUUUCUCCAUGGCAACGUUCCUGUUUUCACCUCAAUGAUAGAAACAGCUUUUUCUUUUUCUUUUUCUUUUUUUUUUUAAAGUUUAAACCAAGACGGCCACAUAAACAUGUCGUUUGACAUGUGGACCUCCUGGAAUUGGAUCAGUGAACCUUUUUAAUUUGGCCUCCACCAUCUGCUUACACACCUGCACACACACACACACACACACACACUCAUGCCUUUAAACACUGCCUGGACUUUUAACUCUCUGUAACAGGAUCUGAAUUACACCCUGACCACUCAGACAGACGUCACAACAAUUGGCUUAAUCGUCCAGGUCCAAGGCUAACGCCGAGGACUGCGCGGCCACGGCGUCUCCACGGCCGUCCAGCAGAUGGACGGGACACACGGUCUGUGGAGAAUUGGCUUAAGGUUUUGAUUUUUCUGGAUCCAGACAAACUGAUGAUCAGACAAAUGGAAAAAAAGGUAAGAAACUAAAAACGGAUAUUUUUAUUUUUUAAAUCUCCACCAGAUUCCGUUCAGAUGUUUGACUCGCUGUUGAAACCUCUGAGUUUCUGUAGCAGUGUGUGUGUGUGUGUGUUAGAGAGACGACAACAACGUCCCCUGAUCUGACCCUGUUCUCCCCCAUUCACUCCCCUUCCCUUCCCCUAUCCUUGUUGCACCAUGACAAUCCCCUUCACCCGGGCAAUAUGUCAUCUUUAAUCUGAUUAGUAUCAGCAGCACUUGAGAAACCACAAUCUCCUCGUGGCCAACUUCCUCAGAUGGAGGCAUCUGGCCGCAGCAACACAAACCAGGUCAGGUUCUCUGGGCGGAGGACGAGGGUGAAAUCCCUGGAUAUUAAAGCAAUCGCCUCACCCUCGGAGGACGGCCAGCAAACACGUUCCAGAGGAGCCCAGCUGAGAGACGCUGGUCCAGUCUGACGGUGGUGGUGGUGGUGAGGAGGAGGAUGACAGGCUAAAAAUACCACUGGGACCAGAAGCUAUUGACUAAACAAACUCAAGCUAAUGGUAGGCCACACACACACACACACACACACACACACACACACACAACACCUCCCAGGAGAGUGAGAUAUAAUCAGAGAGAUUGGCGCUGGACUAGGGCAGUGAGACGGCCAAUAGGGACGGAGCAGGUCAGGCCUCGUCAUGACCACGUUUGGACAAAAGGCACAGUUGUGUCGAAAACACAGAGGGUGAUUGUGUGUUAGUAA